ensembl:piRNA 21ur-2066 ncRNA
UCCAAAAAUUGAACUUUUCCA